UCCUUCGUGAUGAAAUGGUAAACAUGCGCGAUUCAAAAUCGUGUGCCCUUGGCUUGCCGGUUCAAGUCCGGUCGAAGGUA
rfam:Genlisea aurea contig_557, whole genome shotgun sequence.